rnacentral:lncRNA from 1 species
AAAAUAUUUGACACAUGUAUGAUCAGUGAGUUAAUAGCACUUAACUAAUAAUUUUUUAUUUUUUUUAAACUAUACUAUAAGUAUUGAUAAACUAUUAUUUUGAUUUGAAAUUCAAAUCUGUGUAAAAACACUAAUAAUCUUUAAAUCAAAUCACUAGUUCUUAAAAUAAAUGUAAUCAACUUUUUAAUUUUAGUUUAGAUUCGAUUAAUUAAAUUAAAUCACCUAAUAUCCCAAUUACAGUAUUGCGACUAUAUUAAUUUUUGUAUUUUU